GCCUGGGUGGCUCAGUCGGUUAAGCGUCUGACUUCGGCUCAGGUCAUGAUCUCACAGUGUGUGGGUUCGAGCCCCACAUCGGUCU
rnacentral:tRNA from 1 species